GAUGAACGCUGGCGGCGUGCCUAAUACAUGCAAGUCGAGCGAACAGACGAGGAGCUUACUCCUCUGACGUUAGCGGCGGACGGGUGAGUAACACGUGGAUAACCUACCUAUAAGACUGGGAUAACUUCGGGAAACCGGAGCUAAUACCGGAUAACAUGUUGAACCGCAUGGUUCAACAGUGAAAGACGGUCUUGCUGUCACUUAUAGAUGGAUCCGCGUCGCAUUAGCUAGUUGGUAAGGUAACGGCUUACCAAGGCAACGAUGCGUAGCCGACCUGAGAGGGUGAUCGGCCACACUGGAACUGAGACACGGUCCAGACUCCUACGGGAGGCAGCAGUAGGGAAUCUUCCGCAAUGGGCGAAAGCCUGACGGAGCAACGCCGCGUGAGUGAAGAAGGUCUUCGGAUCGUAAAACUCUGUUAUUAGGGAAGAACAAAUGUGUAAGUAACUAUGCACGUCUUGACGGUACCUAAUCAGAAAGCCACGGCUAACUACGUGCCAGCAGCCGCGGUAAUACGUAGGUGGCAAGCGUUAUCCGGAAUUAUUGGGCGUAAAGCGCGCGUAGGCGGUUUUUUAAGUCUGAUGUGAAAGCCCACGGCUCAACCGUGGAGGGUCAUUGGAAACUGGAAAACUUGAGUGCAGAAGAGGAAAGUGGAAUUCCAUGUGUAGCGGUGAAAUGCGCAGAGAUAUGGAGGAACACCAGUGGCGAAGGCGACUUUCUGGUCUGUAACUGACGCUGAUGUGCGAAAGCGUGGGGAUCAAACAGGAUUAGAUACCCUGGUAGUCCACGCCGUAAACGAUGAGUGCUAAGUGUUAGGGGGUUUCCGCCCCUUAGUGCUGCAGCUAACGCAUUAAGCACUCCGCCUGGGGAGUACGACCGCAAGGUUGAAACUCAAAGGAAUUGACGGGGACCCGCACAAGCGGUGGAGCAUGUGGUUUAAUUCGAAGCAACGCGAAGAACCUUACCAAAUCUUGACAUCCUCUGACCCCUCUAGAGAUAGAGUUUUCCCCUUCGGGGGACAGAGUGACAGGGGGUGCAUGGUUGUCGUCAGCUCGUGUCGUGAGAUGUUGGGUUAAGUCCCGCAACGAGCGCAACCCUUAAGCUUAGUUGCCAUCAUUAAGUUGGGCACUCUAAGUUGACUGCCGGUGACAAACCGGAGGAAGGUGGGGAUGACGUCAAAUCAUCAUGCCCCUUAUGAUUUGGGCUACACACGUGCUACAAUGGACAAUACAAAGGGUAGCGAAACCGCGAGGUCAAGCAAAUCCCAUAAAGUUGUUCUCAGUUCGGAUUGUAGUCUGCAACUCGACUACAUGAAGCUGGAAUCGCUAGUAAUCGUAGAUCAGCAUGCUACGGUGAAUACGUUCCCGGGUCU
rnacentral:rRNA from 1 species